rnacentral:misc_RNA from 1 species
GAUGAAGAACGUAGCGAAAUGCGAUAAGUAAUGUGAAUUGCAGAAUUCAGUGAAUCAUCGAAUCUUUGAACGCACAUUGCGCCCGCCAGCAUUCUGGCGGGCAUGCCUGUUCGAGCGUCAUUUCAACCCUCGAGCCCCCCCGGGGGCCUCGGUGUUGGGGGACGGCACACCAGCCGCCCCCGAAAUGCAGUGGCGACCCCGCCGCAGCCUCCCCCGCGUAGUAGCACACACCUCGCACCGGAGCGCGGAGGCGGUCACGCCGUAAAACGCCCAACUUUCUUAGAGUUGACCUCGGAUCAGGUAGGAAUACCCGCUGAACUUAAGCAUAUCAAUAAGCGGAGGA